CGUGCCGCCCCUUCCCGCCCCGCCCGGCCCGCGGGCUCAUUUCAGCACCGCCCGCCGCAGCCCGGCUCCAGCCAGCGCCGGACCAUGAGCAGCCUGCCCGCCGACAGGGACGGCGGCGCCGCCGACGCCAGCCCGCCCGAGGAGGAGGUCAGGACACUCUUUGUGAGCGGCUUGCCUCUGGACAUCAAGCCUCGGGAGCUGUAUCUGCUUUUCAGACCAUUCAAGGGUUAUGAAGGUUGUCUUAUAAAGCUCACGUCUAAACAGCCUGUGGGAUUUGUCAGCUUUGACAGUCGCUCUGAAGCAGAAGCUGCUAAGAAUGCUCUGAAUGGAAUUCGCUUUGACCCUGAAAUUCCACAAACCCUACGCCUAGAAUUCGCCAAAGCAAACACGAAGAUGGCCAGAAGCAAACUAGUGGGGACCCCGAACCCGAGCACUUCUGUUCCUAACACUGUACCUCAGUUCAUAACCAGAGAGCCAUAUGCGCUGGCUUCCUCCAUCAGAGGCUGCUUCUCAGGGCUGGAAGUCCCGUCAGUUCUGCUGAAUACUGUGUAUCAGGUGUGUGAUGGUGGCUACAAUCAGUCUUGUGGGUAUUAAUGGCUCCUUCCAGGGUGGAUGCUGGUUUCCCCUGGUCGCUACAAAACUACAGUGUGCUGCCUUGAAAAAGCUCACACAAGAUUUGAGUCCUUCAAGACUUUGCCACAGCCUCUAUCACACAUCUGCUCUCCUAAAAGAAAAAAAUAAUUCAUACUUAAUAAUAUUAUUUUCCUCUUUUACACUGUAUAAUUGUAAGAAAGAGCUUGUUACCUGUGAACGCAUGGUUUGACAGUCACUGCUGUAGAGUUCCAAGAGUUUUUUUUAAACAAAAAGAAAAAAACCCCAAGCUAUAAAAGCAAAAAGAGAACAUGUAUUUUUAUAGCAAACAUUGUAAAAGGAUCUUACACUGGGUUGGUUCACAAUUUUUGUGCUUGACUUUUAAAUGCUUGUCAUUAAAAUUGUACUUUUUUUUUCUGUCAGCGGCAUGUUCCAUGCACGUUUUUAAAUCUUGGUCAAAUUUAAAGUGUAUUUUUAAUUUUAUAGGCAUUUUACUCAUCCUGGCAGUGGGCCAGGGUGAGUUAAUGCAUUCUGAAUGUGUCGACUACAGAACUAUAUACAUUUAUAGUAUUAUUUUUAUUCUCAGUUGUACCGUAUGAUACCAGCCAAGACAAUCAGAAACCUACUUAAUUGUAAGUUUUUACCUUAUGGCUGUGUUUACAGCUGGCUGUGCAAAGCUUUAGAACUGAUCAGAGAUGUGCAGGGAAAAGCGGUAUGUGUAGCAAGUUGAAGAUUUGCCUACAAUAACUUGUGAUUGCUGAGAGCACUCUUUGUGAGUGUUUACUGGGUGCAAAAUUACAUGAUAUUGUUCCAUGAGGAGGACUGGCUGUGUCCAGUAACUGCUUGAAAUCUUUAUGGGCAAUGUAAACUGCUGUAUAGGGAAAAAAAUCCCCCAAUUAAGAAAUGCACAUAAGUUCAUGCUUAGAUCAAACUGAAGUCAAUUGGACUUAAACACAUGCCUAUGAUUAUGCUUUGCUUGACUGGGACCUUAAAAAGUUUAUGCUUUUCCAGCCACUUUCCAUAUAAUGUACUGGUAUUUCAGUGCUAAAGUGAAGACGAGAAGGGAGCAUUUGCCAGUCUUUGAUUAACUAAAUUCUUUACUAAGUCAUUCUUGAAGCAAUAUUUAUAAUGUUUACUGAGGUAUAUACCAGCAAAGACAAUGUCCAGGCAUUUUUUUCUCUAUUCCUUCUUAUUCUGUGGAGGAACAAUAUAAAAAUCAGUUUUCAGUUUCAUGUGAAAGGAUUGACAUUUAUUAAACCUACAAAUGACAAUCAGCCAUGUCCCUGCCCCAAAAAGGAAACUAGGCUGCAGGUUGCAUUGAUUUGUUCAAGAAGGAACUUUACUGUUGAUUAAUAUGGUGAAAGUCUGUUCAUGUUUCCCUGUGGUCUUGUUCACACUUGUGCUGAAGACGUAGUGACAACAAUGUUUUUUAUCGUGACAACACAAUAUUUUGCUUGUGGAAAUAAAAAUAUUGAGAAUUCUUAUUUUCUAGAAUCACAAUGGUGGCUGAAAGGAGAACAUGGAAACAUUUCUAUUCUACUUUUCAAUGAAAGGGACAAAGAUGGCUUGAGAACAAAUUAAGUCUAAGAUGUGGAAAUAAAUCUAGAAGGAACGAUGCAGCCAUUCUAAAUGAUGGACUAGGUCUUAAAAAAAUGAUUUUUGAGUUUUGUUCUGCGGUAAUAGGUGAAAGAAAAUCCUACAUUGUCUGUUCUGCUUUUCUAAAUAUGUUUAAAGAUACUUUUCUAUUGUAAUUUUAAAAAAAUAAAACAGUGAUUAUUCUAA